UCGUCAGCUCGUGUCGUGAGAUGUGGUUAAGUCCGCAACGAGCGCAACCCUCGACCUUAGUUGCCAGCAUUCAGUUGGGCACUCUAAGGUGACUGCCGGCUAAAAGUCGGAGGAAGGUGGGGAUGACGUCAAAUCAUCAUGCCCCUUAUGACCUGGGCUACACACGUGCUACAAUGGGCGGUACAAAGGGUCGCGAACCCGCGAGGGGGAGCCAAUCCCAAAAAGCCGCUCUCAGUUCGGAUUGCAGGCUGCAACUCGCCUGCAUGAAGCCGGAAUCGCUAGUAAUCGCGGAUCAGCAUGCCGCGGUGAAUACGUUCCCGGGCCUU
rnacentral:rRNA from 1 species